rnacentral:rRNA from 1 species
AACGAACACUGGCGGCGUGGUUUAGGCAUGCAAGUCGAACGUGAAAGUUUCCUUCGGGAAAUGAGUAAAGUGGCGAACGGGUGAGUAACGCGUGGGAAACCUUCCCUUCGUUGGGGGAUAACAGUUCUAACGAGCUGCUAAUACCGCAUACGACCUUUGGAUCGCAUGGUCUGGAGGUGAAAGGGGGCGCCCUCUUCGGAGAGCUCCCGACGAUGGAUGGUCCCGCGUCCCAUUAGCUAGUUGGCGGGGUAAUGGCCCACCAAGGCGACGAUGGGUAGCCGGCCUGAGAGGGUGUCCGGCCACACUGGGACUGAGAUACGGCCCAGACUCCUACGGGAGGCAG